rnacentral:sRNA from 1 species
UUAAACAAUAUAGUCUAGCAGGUUAAAAUCUAGUAAAUAAUAUGUAAAAAGUGAUUUAAAAAGAGAAAUUGAGAAUUACUUGUUCAGGAGCGUUAUAACCGGCAGGAGGAGGAAAUGUUUCUAGUGACAUUUCUUCAGAAGGUUCUGAUACUCGGGCAUGAGUACUGGUGAUUCCAGCUUGACUAACGACAAAGAUGCUUGAGAAUGCAAUCGCAGCGCAAACAAGUGCUAAGUGACUCAACUCCAUUUCGUUUUUAAAAUUUUUUAAUAAAUUUUGCUUUGUAAAUGAUAAUUUUUAUGAUUGGAUCAAUGUGUUUUUAU